AAUUGAUUGGAACUCCUAGACUAGAAAUAUAAUUCAAGAUUUAAAUAAGGCACUGGUCAUAGUUUUAGAAAGAGUGGCUAGCAUUCUGCAUACUAGCCAAGAUUGAUACCUCUCCACAAAUUAACAAAGACAUCAAUGAAGCUUUGCUAAAGCUAGUGACAAUUUACAUGUUUUCUUAUGUGGCUUAAUUAUAAUAAUGUCAAGAAAGCUAAUUAAAUAAGAACUAUACAUUU